rnacentral:rRNA from 1 species
UACAGAGGCCUCGAGCGUUAGGCGGAAUCACUGGGCUUAAAGCGGGUGUAGGCGGACUUCUAAGUACCUUGUGAAAUCCCACGGCUCACCCGUGGAACUGCUUGGUAUACUGGUCGUCUUGAGCCUUCUAGGGGCGAGUGGAACAAAUGGUGGAGCGGUGAAAUGCGUAGAUAUCAUUUGGAACGCCAAUGGUGAAAACAACUCGCUGGGGAAGUGCUGACGCUGAGACACGAAAGCCAGGGGAGCGAACGGG